AGAAAUUCCCAGAAGUUUUACCAUCUCCUACUUCUUACCAACUUUCUUUAUAUCUCGAAUGUCCAAUGGCUGUUUCACAGGCUCGAUUAUCGAUUCUCAGCUCCUUGAAGGAAUAUUCCAUUCACAGCCAUCCUGCAGUGUGGUGCCUGGAAGUGUAGCCUCUGGAGGCCCGACUGCCCGGACUGAAACCCUGACUCUUCCAGUAACUAGCUGAGUGACCUCAGAUUUGCCGAAUACCUUGCCGGUGGAAACUGAAUGGUCCCCAUUUGAGACUUGGAAUCUGCUCAUUUCCUUUCCAGCCCUGGCCUUACUACCUGAACUGGGCGGUCACGGCAUAGUAUUAUAAGGUGCUGAAAGGAUGCUGAAUCACAAUGCAAACAUGGUUUUUGAAGGUUGAGUUGGAGAUUCUUGAUGAGGACCUCAGGACGGGAAAAUCAGAUGUCAUCAUCUAGCUCUCGCCAUAUGUCCUAGGGGUUCCCACUCGCCGCUGUCACCUGUGAGUCUCCUCAUCCCAUUUGCUGUGACCACACUGCUGAGUGCUCUUGGUUGGCCGUUCCUCUGCACAUCUUUUUUGUUGUUCUCGUUGUUAGUUUCAUGGACUAUUUGAUAUUGAAACUAAGGCAAUUUUAUUGAUGCAGUUUUUCACAUGUUUCUUCCACACACUUACUCUUUUCUUCAAAUUUUACUUCAUGAAGAACUUAUUUCUACUUGCAAAUCACGUCCAUCUUGCCAAUUUUCAGAUUUUUAAUUAGGUAGGGCUUUCUUACUUUCUUCUUUUCUGUCUUUCUUUCUUCCUUCCUUUCUUUUUCUUUUUCUUUCUUUUUUUUUUUCCUUCCUGCUGGUGGUAGAAUAUUUAUGUGGAACAAUGUGCUUCUAACUCAAUUAUUUGGAAAGAAGCCUGUACCCACCCCAACACAAACACAUAUCACCACCACCACCAUUGCUACCCAAGGCACAGAGAAACAGAGAAACAGCUCCAUGUUUUUCCGGUGAAAAUUCACAAAGAAUAUGCAUUUCAUGAAAUUUUAUAUGAUUCUUACUAAUAUCCUCACGAGGGAGAAUGGGGUUCACAACACAUGCACACAU